rnacentral:rRNA from 1 species
GACGAACGCUGGCGGCGUGCUUAACACAUGCAAGUCGAACGGAAAGGCCCUGCUUUUGUGGGGUGCUCGAUUGGCGAACGGGUGUGUAACACGUGUGUAACCUGCCCUUGACUUUGGGAUAACUUCAGGAAACUGGGGCUAAUACCGGAUAGGAUCUCCUGCUGCAUGGUGGUGGUUGGAAAGUUUCGGCGGUUGGGGAUGGACUCGCGGCUUAUCAGCUUGUUGGUGGGGUAGUGGCUUACCAAGGCUUUGACGGGUAGCCGGCAUGAGAGGGUGACCGGCAAAAUGGGGACUGAGAUACGGACCAGAAGGGAACGGGAGGCAGGAGUGGGGAAUAUUGCACAAUGGGAGGAAGGCUGAUGCAGAAACGCCGGGUGCGGGAUGACGGCCUGCGGGUUGUAAACAGAUUUAGAAUGUGACGAAGCGUGAGUGACGGUAAUGGGUAAAGAAGCAACGGCUAACUACGUG